ACGUAGGUACCAAGCGUUGUUCGGAUUUACUGGGCGUAAAGGGCGCGUAGGCGGCAUGACAAGUCACUUGUGAAAUCUCUGGGCUUAACCCAGAACGGUCAAGUGAUACUGUCGUGCUAGAGUGCAGAAGGGGCAAUCGGAAUUCUUGGUGUAGCGGUGAAAUGCGUAGAUAUCAAGAGGAACACCUGAGGUGAAGACGGGUUGCUGGGCUGACACUGACGCUGAGGCGCGAAAGCCAGGGGAGCAAACGGGAUUAGAUACCCCGGUAGUCCUGGCCCUAAACGAUGAAUACUUGGUGUCUGGAGUCUAUAUGCUCCGGGUGCCGUCGCUAACGUUUUUAGUAUUCCGCCUGGGGAGUACGCUCGCAAGAGUG
rnacentral:rRNA from 1 species